AUGAGUUUGUCAUUUUCCUGCAUCUACAGCAACUGAUAUUAUUAGAGUACAGAGUUCUUUAAUUGAAUAUUGAAUGAGUAGAUUUAUGGAUGUGAGACCAAGAUGACAGUCAAGAUUUUUGCUCAGUGAGGAAAUGCUUGCUAUCACAUGUCAUGUUAUCUUUCCCUUAGCCAGACACCAGCAGCACGACCCAGCUGGAGAGGCCCCCGGAGCCACAGUCGCUGCUCCUUCUGCUUCGAGCUGCUCCCAUCAGAUUAUCAGCCGCUGGGUUACACGUCGGCCUGCCAGAGAUUUGAUUAGUGGCAUCUGUGAAAGAGAAAAGUCAAGGAUAAACUGCACCAAAUUCCCUAAAUACAAGAAACUAGGUGUUUCGUGAUCUUCAAAGUUGAGCUCCUGCCCUUGGAAAAGUAAAGAGAGGUGUGUUUUCCCCUCAGAGGGGCCUGAUUCCUGCACAAACUAACCAAGGGAACCGAGCAAUGUCCUCGUACCGCACCAGCAUGUAACGCCUGCGGAGCCACGGCGGCUGUCUGAGGCCGACUUGGGCAGACAUCCUGAUGUUGUCGCAGUUCCCUUUC